GAGGUUGUGGCUCAGCAGUAGAGCGCUCGCCACGCAAGUGUGAGACCUUGGGUUCGAUCCUCAGCACCACA
rnacentral:tRNA from 1 species